ACGGAAGGCAGCAGUGGGGAAUAUUGCACAAUGGGGGAAACCCUGAUGCAGCGACGCCGCGUGAGUGAAGAAGUAUUUCGGUAUGUAAAGCUCUAUCAGCAGGAAAGAAAAUGACAGUACCUGACUAAGAAGCCCCGGCUAACUACGUGCCAGCAGCCGCGGUAAUACGUAGGGGGCAAGCGUUAUCCGGAUUUACUGGGUGUAAAGGGAGCGUAGACGGCUUUGCAAGUCUGAAGUGAAAGCCCGGGGCUCAACCCCGGAACUGCUUUGGAAACUGUAGAGCUAGAGUGCAGGAGAGGUAAGUGGAAUUCCUAGUGUAGCGGUGAAAUGCGUAGAUAUGACGAAGAACACCGAUUGCGUAGGCAGCAGACCAGGCCGUAAAUGACGCUCAUGCACGAAAGUGCGGGGAUCGAACAGGAUUAGAUACCCUGGUA
rnacentral:rRNA from 1 species